rnacentral:lncRNA from 1 species
CCAAAACAUGAUGAUACAAAUAGUUUUCAAUCAAAUACGCAGUUAAGCAGUCAUACGGGACAGACUAAGUCAUAAUUCCCAAUGGUGUAUGACCCCAUGCUCGUCAUCUAGCAUGUGCAUCACCUCAAAAUAGCACAACGAUGUGAAAUCCGGGGUUUCAAACCUUUAAGACAAUAUUUACAACCAUUACUUACCUCUAUCCGGUCCAAACUCUAGCCCACGAUACCUUUGCCUCCCGAAUCAGUCUCCAAUUGCUCCGAAUCUAACCAAAAUCAGUUCCACAUCAUUAAUACACGCUAAAGGAACAAAGCCCAAGCGAAAAUAAUCGAAUUAACUCAAAAAUCCCGAAAUUGGCCAAACCGGCCCCUGGGACCACUUCUCGGAAUCCAAUAAAAAUCAUAUCAAUAGAAUCCUCAUCCUCUCACGAGUCUAAACAUACUAAGAACAUCAAAAUCGGACCUCAAAUAACCCCUCAAAUCCCAAAUUCCACUCUCCAAUGUUUCUUCAAAUUUUCAUCCCAAUUUCCCAAAUUAAAUGACAAAAAUUAAGACAAAAUCAUGGUAUUAAAUCAAAUUUGGGUGAAGAAUACUUACCCCAAUCCAUUCUCUGAAAAUCCCCUUCAAAAUCGUCUUCUCCCGAGCUCCAUAACUCCGAAAUGCAAAAAUGGCCGAAAUCCUCAAAAUAGAGUACUUUAUAAAGCUGCCCAGGCCUCAUCUUUAGCGAACGCGGGACGACCAUUGCGUCCGCGAUGAAGAAAAAAUACCAGCUCCCAAAAUGCUCUACACGUUCGCGACACAAGCCACACGAACGCAAUACCUACUGGGUACAUAACUACGCGAACACGACAUCCAAAGCGCGAACCUGAAGAACACAACAUCACAACAUCGCGAACGUGACACCCAAAGCACGAACACCCUUCGCGAACGGUAGUCCCUGACCGCAAACGCGAAGAACAAAUCGUCUGCAACAAAAACUAGCAAAAACUGCCAAGUCCAAAGUUCAAAAUUGAUCCGUUUACCAUCCGAAACUCACCCGAGGCCCUCGGGACCUCAACCAAACAUGCCAACAUAUCCCAUAUCGUCAUUCAAACUUGUUCCAACUUUCGGAACGCUCAAAACAGCAUCAAAACAUCAAAUCAUCAUCGGAUCCAAGCCUAAGAAUCCCAAAAACUUCCGAAUUCCGAAUUCGAUCAAAAAGUCUAUCAAAUGAUACCAUGGACCUAUUCCAACUUCCGGAAUUCCAUUCUGACCCCGAUAUCAAAUCUCGCCUAUCAACCGGAAAACGCCAAAAUCCCAAUUUCGCCAAUUCGAGCCUAAACCUUCCGCGGACCUCCAAAAUACAUUCCGAUCAUGCUCCUAAGUCCCAAAUCACCUAACGGAGCUAACCAAAUCAUAAAAAUUCUAAUCCGGGAUCAUACACUAACAAGUCAAACCUUGGUCAAACCUUUCAAAUUUUAAGCUUCAAACUGAGAGUUGUUCUUCCAGAUUCAUUCCGAUUACCCUGAAAACCAAAACCGAUGAUUACAUAAGUCAUAAUACAUCACACGGGGCUAAUCUUACCCGAGAACUGACGAGCAGAAAAUAAAAGUUCAAAACGAUCGGUCAGGUCGUUACAAUUACUACUUAUAUAAAGGUAGAAACUAAUAACUUACAUUAGGAAGAAGAGUUAUGGUACGACAGGAUCACCAUUCUCCUCCCACGACAUAAAUUUAAUAUUGAAUCGUAUUCGCCUCAUUUACUAUCUGCAAAUCACUGAGAACAUAUUUCUACUCAAUCCAGGCUUAUUCAUAAUUUCAAAUAAAUUUAUUUGAAACAGCCUCUGCAUAUUAAUUGCAAACCAAUUAUUAUUCUAGUCAUAUUAAAGAAGUACCACUGCUGAAAGAAAUUGUUGAUCAAGCGUGUACAACAGAAAAGGAUCAAAACUUCAGAGUUUGCAUAGAACAAUUCAUCAGUUAAAGCCUCAUUAAGCUCUCAUAUACAUUCAAAUCCGACUGUCAAAAAAAUUAUCACACAAUAAAAACCAAACAACUGAAGAAAUAUCAGAACUAACAAUUUCAUCAAUCAAGCAAGUAAAACUACAAAGGUCAGCACCAACCAUUAAAUAUUGCAAUAACAUUUUCAAAACUUACAAAAAAUAAUUUUAUAAAAAACUUAAAUUUUCACAUUGUUGCAUAAAACUUUUUAUGUCAAGAUCAGCACAACGUUUCUUAAAUUAACCACAAUCAUGCGAAACCAAAAACUUACUUCAUAAGGUAUGAAAAUAUUUUAGAAUCUUAGUACAAAACCAACAAUAGCAAAAUAGUUAAUUUGAAAUUAUAAAAAUUACUCAAUAGAUAUGAACCUCAUCGCGACUGUUAUCGAUUAUUUCUUUCAUCCAUAAAAUCUCCAAAAAUGACACAUGUUAGUAUUCACAAAUUACUUGACUUCAUGGGGUUGAUCUUCACUUUGGGGCUAGCAGACGUGACUAUCUCAUCAUGAGUAGAUGUUUUGAACACAAGAACCUUCAUGUUAGUAGCCUUAUUGAAGAAACUUUCAAGAAUAUUGAAUGUCUUCUUUGUUGAUCAUUCUUAAAGGAGAAGCGAAGACUUAAGGCAUUACCUCAUUAUAGGGAAACCACCGAUCACCAGAGAAUUGACUUUCGGUUGAAUAACUUUGGCAUUGGAUCCUUUUUAUCAUCCGCAAUUUCAUGAUAUGGAUUUGGAAUUUCCUAAUAUUUCAAGUGCAUCAUGGUAGCUUGAUAUUGAACUCAAAUUGUAAAUCUAUAGAAGUGCAAGCGAAAGAAAAUGAAAGCGUUAAAAUAAAAAAUACUAUAUAUCAAAAAGAGACGAUGCACCAGCAAAAUAUAAUUUUUGCUGUGAGAAAGCGCAAAGUUGUUAAAAGCACAACGACAAAAAUCAAAAUUGAGCUCAAAAAAAUAUCUGUAUAAAUUUAUAGAGAAUCUUAACCUAAUUUUUGUAUAUAUUGUAGCUCCACAAGUUCUAUUUCCAACGGCACAAACAGAUCAUAGUUUUGACGUGUUUGCAGAAAGAUAUGAUUUUUUUAGUGAGGACGCGUAAAGAUAUGAAAAUCAGAAUACCAAUAUUUUUGAAAUAGAUUCAAAAGUAUAUAUUUAUAAAUAUACAAAGAAUCUGGAUUUGUUUUCUGUAUAUGUUUUAGUUCUAGAAGUGCUCUUUUCAAUGGCACAAGCAAAUUAUGAUUUUGAUGCGUCUACAAAGAGAUAUAACUUUUUUCCGUCGAGACGCGUUGUUUCCAAAAAAUUUCAUUGAAUUAUUUGAGGACAGAAGGAUUGGGAAGAAAGGAAGUGCAAAGAACAGAGAAGCGGUGUGUACCUCUUCUGUGACCUAACUUCAUGAGGUUGAUCUAACGAUGUAUCUCCACGCCAAAACUUUUAAAAGAAUUGCUUCUUAAAGUUACACAUGUUCAACAACCAAUAAG